AUGAAUACAAUUCCGGACGUACGACCGGUGCAAUCGACUUCGGCUGGAUGUAACUGAUCAGCGAGAGUUGCCGCUUGCAGUCACGGGAGGAGUUGAAAACGGAGCGGUCAAGCCUGACACUUCCCGUAGUGACGCUCGCGCGGUGUUUGCUUUCUAUAAAGAAGACAAAGUGGAUUAGAUGUAAUAUUUCUCAGGUGAUGCUGACAUUGUGUCUAUCCCGGACAUCGUAGACGAAAUCAAGUUUCUGAACAAGGGGCGAACACAGAAGUCCCGCGAGUCAGGUUGGAAAACCCCGUGUUGGGAUUGUCAAAUCUUGUAAACAAGAUCGCUGCACCCGAGUUCAAAAAUAAUGAACCGCGCGCUAUAGACUCUUGUUUGGACUGGAAUCAGGAGCUGUUUGAUUCGUGGGACGCCUGUGUAUUUACCCCGGUUCCUGGAGACGAUCUGCCUUCAAACCAAGAAGCAUUUGGUCGCGAGGCUACUGUUAUUAUAGACAAUAACAGAGACUCGGCGGAGGUGAUAUGAACCGGGUUCAAGGCCAUCGAGGAUCGUAUUGCUGGAUUUGAAAAGACUUUUGCUAGCGUCACCGAGCAUCUGGACGUUAUAGAGAAAAAUCAGCGUCUUUAUAAUCAAAGUGUUGUGGAAACAUUACAAAACCAUACCAUCACACAUAAACAAAUCAUAGCAACCCAGAAGCUUCUUGCUGGGGAGAUUCGUCGCGUUGAUCACAAACAACACCUGACGACGGAAUUGUUAAAACAGUUUGUACAGUUGGUUAAAAUCAAGAAACUCCGGUGAGUUGUACAAUAAGUAUUUUAUACCCCUCUGUGUGUGUGUGUGUGUGUGUGUGUGUGUGUGUGUGUGUGUGUGUGUGUGUGUUUAUUUAUUUGCUGGUUCGUAU
ensembl:lncRNA